rnacentral:rRNA from 1 species
UACGUAGGGUGCAAGCGUUAAUCGGAAUUACUGGGCGUAAAGCGUGCGCAGGCGGCUUUGCAAGACAGAUGUGAAAUCCCCGGGCUUAACCUGGGAACUGCAUUUGUGACUGCAUGGCUGGAGGGCGGCAGAGGGGGAUGGAAUUCCGCGUGUAGCAGUGAAAUGCGUAGAUAUGCGGAGGAACACCGAUGGCGAAGGCGAUCCCCUGGGCCUGCACUGACGCUCAUGCACGAAAGCGUGGGGAGCAAACAGG